UGACGGUACCCUACUAGAAAGGAGCCGCUAACUUCGUGCCAGAAGCGUCGGUAAUACGGGGGCUCCAAGCGUUAUCCGGUGUUAUUGGGCGUAAAGAGUCGUGUAGGUGGUUGGGUAAGUUAUCUUUCAAAUAUCUUUGCUUAACAAAGAGGAGGGGGAUAAUACUGCUCGACUAGAAUUUUCUCAAGGGAGAUCGGAACUGAGGGAGGAGUAGUGAAAUGCGUUGAUACCCUCGGGAACACCAGUGGCGUAGGCGGAUCUCUGGGAGAAGAUUGACACUGAGACACGAAAGCUAGGGGAGCGAAGCAGAUUAGAGACCUGCGUAGUCCUAGCCGUAAACGCAUGCUUGCUAGCUGCAUGAAUCUACCUUCGGGUGGUAUCGUGUGGCGAAGGUAACCCGUUAAGCAAGCCGCCUGGAAAGUACGGCCGCAAGGCUGAAAUUCAAAGGAAUUGGCGGGGAGGCACACAACCAGUGGAACAUGUGGUUUAAUUCGAGACUAACCGAAGAACCUCACCAGGGUUUGACAUGUAGCUGCACGUCUUAAGAAAUUAAGACUCUCUUGAAGGUGCUACACAGGUGCUGCAUGGCUGUCGUCAGCUCGUUCCGUGAGGAGUGCCCUUAAGUGGGACAACGAGCGCAACCCCUAUUACAUGUUAGAAAUGUCAUGUAAGACUGCCUUGCCAUUUGGCGGGGAGGAAGGAGGGGCAGACGUCAAGUCCGCAUGGUCCUUAUGCCCUGGGCUACACACAUGUUACAAUGAGUACGGCAAUGAGUCUGUCGCGAGCACGUAAGUGUAAGCUAAUCUCUUAAAUGUACUCUCAGUGGGGAUUGAGGUCUGCAACUCGACCUCAUGAACACGGAAUUGGUAGUAAUCGCGGGUCAGCUAUACCGCGGUGAAUACGUUCUUGCCUCUUGCACACACCGCCCGUCAAACCAGCAAAGUCGAUUGUAUCCGAACCU
rnacentral:rRNA from 1 species